AUGGAGAUGAAACCCAAAAGAUUUUCGUUGGGGCGUAACCCUCUCAGCGACGCGCCACAUCGGAACCCGGGUGUGGUGGAAAAUGGGCAAGGGCCGGGCCGUCACCCCCCAAGUGGCGCGCCGUAUCUUGAUCCGGAUACGGUGGCAAGUGAGCGAGGAUCGGGUCGUCGCAUCCUUAGUGGCGCGCUACAUCGGCGCCCGGAUGUAGUGGAAAAUGAGCAAGGGUCUUUGCAUUUGACUCGACGAGUGCGAAGGGUAAGGAAGCUAGCCGAGCCUAGGAGGAUUCGCUUAGGUAGCUGGAACGUAGGGUCUCUGACAGGAAAGCUUCGGGAGCUAGUUGAUGCAGCAGUGAGGAGAGGUGUUGAUAUCCUUUGCGUCCAAGAAACCAAAUGGAGAGGACAGAAGGCGAAGGAGGUGGAGGAUACCGGCUUCAAGCUGUGGUACACGGGGACGGCUGCAAACAGAAAUGGCGUAGGCAUCUUGAUCAACAAGAGCCUCAAGUAUGGAGUGGUAGACGUCAGGAGACGUGGGGACCGGAUUAUCCUGGUCAAGCUGGUAGCUGAGGACUUGGUUCUCAAUGUUAUCAGCGCAUAUGCCCCGCAAGUAGGCCACAAUGAGAACACCAAGAGGGAGUUCUGGGAAGGCUUGGAAGACAUGGUUAGGAGUGUACCGAUUGGUGAGAAGCUCUUCAUAGGAGGAGACCUCAAUGGCCACGUGGGUACAUCUAACAUAGGUUUUGAAGGGGCGCAUGGGGGCUUUGGCUAUGGCAUCAGGAAUCAAGAAGGAGAAGAUGUCUUAAGCUUUGCUCUAGCCUACAACAUGAUUGUAGCUAACACCCUCUUUAGAAAGAGAGAAUCACAUCUGGUGACUUUUAGUAGUGGCCAACACUCUAGCCAGAUUGAUUUCAUCCUCUCGAGAAGAGAAGAUAGGCGUGCGUGCCUAGACUGUAAGGUGAUACCUGGGGAGAGUGUUGUACCCCAGCAUAAGCUGGUGGUUGCUGACUUCCGCUUUCGGAUUCGUGUCCAGCGGGAUAAGCGUGCCAAGGUCGCUAGAACGAAGUGGUGGAAGCUCAAGGGGGGGGUAGCUCAGGUGUUCAAGGAGAGGGUAUUUAAGGAGGGCCCUUGGGAGGAAGGAGGGGAUGCGGACAAUGUGUGGAUGAAGAUGGCGACUUGCAUUCGUAAGGUGGCCUCGGAGGAGUUUGGAGUGUCCAGGGGAAGGAGAAGCGAAGAUAACGAUACCUGGUGGUGGAAUGAUGAUGUCCAGAAGGCGCUUAAAGAGAAGAAAGAUUGCUUCAGACGCCUAUACCUGGAUAGGAGUGCAGACAACAUAGAGAAGUACAAGAUGGCGAAGAAGGCCGCAAAGCGAGCUGUUGGUGAAGCACGGGGUCGGGCAUAUGAGGACCUCUACCAACGGUUAGGCACGAAGGAAGGUGAAAGGGACAUCUAUAAGAUGGCUAAGAUCCGGGAGAGGAAGACGAGGGAUAUUGGCCAAGUCAAAUGCAUCAAGGACGGAGCAGGCCAACUCUUGGUGAAGGACGAAGAGAUUAAGCAUAGAUGGCGGGAGUACUUCGACAAGCUGUUCAAUGGGGAGAAUGAGAGUUCUACCAUUGAACUGAAUGACUCCUUUGAUGAGACCAGCAUGCGUUUUGUGCGGCGCAUCCAGGAGUCUGAGGUGAAGGAGGCUUUAAAAAGGAUGAAAGGAGGCAAGGCGAUGGGCCCUGAUUGUAUCCCCAUUGAGGUGUGGAAAGGUCUCGGGGACGUAGCGAUAGUAUGGCUAACCAAGCUUUUCAACCUCAUUUUUCGGGCAAACAAGAUGCCAGAAGAAUGGAGACGGAGUAUAUUAGUACCAAUCUUCAAGAACAAGGGGGAUGUUCAGAGUUGUACUAAUUACCAUGGAAUUAAGCUGAUGAGCCAUACAAUGAAGCUAUGGGAGAGAGUCAUUGAGCACCGCUUAAGAAGAAUGACAAGCGUGACCAAAAAUCAGUUUGGUUUCAUGCCUGGGAGGUCGACCAUGGAAGCCAUUUUCUUGGUACGACAACUUAUGGAGAGAUAUAGGGAGCAUAAGAAGGACUUGCAUAUGGUGUUCAUUGACUUGGAGAAGGCCUAUGAUAAGAUACCGCGGAAUGUCAUGUGGUGGGCCUUGGAGAAACACAAAGUCCCAGCAAAGUACAUUACCCUCAUCAAGGACAUGUACAAUAAUGUUGUGACAAGUGUUCGAACAAGUGAUGUCGACACCGAUGACUUCCCGAUUAAGAUAGGACUGCAUCAGGGGUCAGCUUUGAGCCCUUAUCUUUUUGCAUUGGUGAUGGAUGAGGUCACAAGGGGUAUACAAGGAGAUAUCCCAUGGUGUAUGCUCUUUGCGAAUGAUGUGGUGCUAGUUGACGAUAGUCGGACGGGGGUAAAUAGGAAGUUAGAGUUAUGGAGACAAACCUUGGAAUCGAAAGGGUUUAGGCUUAGUAGAACUAAAAUCGAGUACAUGAUGUGCGGUUUCAGUACUACUAGCUGUGAGGAGGAGGAGGUUAGCCUUGAUGGCCAGGUGGUACCUCGGAAGGACACCUUUCGGUAUUUGGGGUCAAUGUUGCAGGAGGAUGGGGGUAUUGAUGAAGAUGUGAACCAUCGAAUCAAAGCCGGAUGGAUGAAGUGGCGCCAAGCUUCUGGCAUUCUCUGUGACAAGAGAGUGCCACAAAAGCUAAAAGGCAAGUUCUACAGGAUGGCGGUUCGACCCGCAAUGUUGUAUGGCACGGAGUGUUGGCCGACUAAAAGGCGACAUGUUCAACAGUUAGGUGUGGCGGAGAUGCGUAUGUUGAGAUGGAUGUGUGGCCACACGAGGAAGGAUCGAGUCCGGAAUGAUGAUAUACGAGAUAGAGUUGGGGUAGCACCAAUUGAGGAGAAGCUUGUCCAACAUCGUUUGAGAUGGUUUGGGCAUAUUCAGCGCAGGCCUCCAGAAGCUCCAGUGCAUAGCGGACGGCUAAAGCGUGCGGAGAAUGUCAAGAGAGGGCGGGGUCGACCGAUUUUGACAUGGGAGGAGUCCGUUAAGAGAGACCUGAAGGAUUGGAGUAUCGACAAAGAGCUAGCUAUGGACAGGGGUGCGUGGAAGCUUGCUAUCCAUGUGCCAGAGCCAUGA
rnacentral:rRNA from 1 species